UACGUAGGGUGCAAGCGUUAAUCGGAAUUACUGGGCGUAAAGCGCGCGCAGGCGGUCCUUUAAGUCUGAUGUGAAAGCCCACGGCUCAACCGUGGAAGGUCAUUGGAAACUGGGGGACUUGAGUGCAGAAGAGGAAAGUGGAAUUCCAAGUGUAGCGGUGAAAUGCGUAGAGAUUUGGAGGAACACCAGUGGCGAAGGCGACUUUCUGGUCUGUAACUGACGCUGAGGCGCGAAAGCGUGGGGAGCAAACAGG
rnacentral:rRNA from 1 species